rnacentral:rRNA from 1 species
GAACGCUCUUGAUCAUCGAGCGAGUGGCGGACGGGUGAGGAACACGUGGGUGAUCUACCUUGAAGGUGAGGAAUACCGUGCGAGAAAUCGCCGACAAUACCGCAUACGUUUGGUGACAAACAAUGUCGAGUGAUCGAUGCCACAAGAUGAGCCUGCGCCCGAUUAUCUUAUUUGGUGAGGUAAUGGCUUACCAAUGCGACAAUCGGUAUCUGGUCUGAUAGGACGAUCAUCCACACUGGGAUUGAUAACGGCCCAUACUCCUACGGGGGGCAGCAGUGAGGAAUUUUCGUCAAUGGGGGCAACCCUGAACGAUCAACGCCGUGUGCAUGAUGAAUGUUUUCGGAUCGUAAACUGCUUUUCCUGUGGAAGAGAACGGACGGUACCCAGGUGAAUAAGCCCCGGCUAACUACGUGCCAGCAUCCGCGGUAAU